UUGAGAGAAGGGAUGACACAGUAGGAUAAGCUAAGCACACUGUUGGUUAUGUGUGCCCAAGCAUUGAGGCAGUCAAAGUAGGCAAAUCCGCUUUGAUAAUGCUGGGAUGGGAUGGGGAGCGAAAUUUAGUAGCGAAGUAGCUGAUUUCACACUGUCAAGAAAAGUCUCUAUCGAGGUUAAAGGUACCCGUACCGCAAACCGACACAGGUGGGUGAGGAGAGUAUCCUAAGGCCAGCG
rnacentral:rRNA from 1 species